GGGAGAAAAAAUGUUAAGGUAGAUUAUACUAAUCCUUAUCAGAGAAAAGCACACUAGAGCUCUGACUAAAGAUAUCAAAAUUAUCUUAAAUUUAUCGGACUAGCAUAAAGGUGGACAAGUUAGGUUAGCAAGUUUGACAGCUUAGAUUAGUGAUAUAAUCAAGGAUCGUUGCAAUGGCUCAACCAAAAUUGACCUUCAAAUGCACUGAGGUAGGGUAAAACUCAGUAGUCUUCUAGUUGAUUCUCAACCCCGCCUAUGUGAAGACCUAAGGCUAAAAAGCACUCAAUAAGUUACUCAAUUCUCUAAACUACUAGAAGGAAAGAGCAGAAUAAAUGGAUAGAUUCUUUAUACACAACUGUAACGAGAAAUUAUUCAAGAGACGGACUUGGAUUGGGUGGGAUAUGUUAUCCAUUACGUAUUUGACCCAACUCUAUUGGCCCAAGCAAAUUUGGGAUGAAUUGAGUCGAGUCACCACCAUACUUUCAUUUUAAAUUGACCCCUCUCUAGUUUUGACAUAAUGCAUUUAUUUCAACCAGAAAAAUUAAAGAAGAUGCAGAACAAUUUGACCAGAUAUGGGCAACUAGGCAACUUGGAACACACUUUUAGCUCAGCAGAAUUCCCACUGAACCUUAACCUUAAAACAAUUUUUAGGCAAGCUAGAGCUACUACAGAUCUUGUCUGCUAACUCUUCCUUUCAACUUACAAGGGACAAAAGGAUAACGAGACUAAUUUCUCUUGAUGAAUUUAAUAUCCAUAAAUGAUCCACACUAUAGAUGAUUUGUGUAUUGGAUUGUGAGAUAAUUUGUGUAUUGGAUUGUGUCCCCUUAUGGUAGUUAUUUAUGGUAGUUACUGUUUGAUAUUAUUGCAUGCCAUUUUAUUUAUGGUUCCUAUGUUUGGAUAAUUAUUUACGCGAUUUCUGCUGGAUUUACUAAUGCUCUUUUGUUUUUGUUUUUCCUUUCCUCCCCUGAGCCGAGGGUCGAUUGGAAACAGUCUCUCUGCCCUUUCGGGUAGGGGUAAGGCCUGUCUACAUAUUAACCUCCCCACACCCCACUAUGUGGGACUAUACUGGGUAAUUGUUAUUAUUGUUGUUGUAAAUGAUCCACACUAUAGAGGAUGACCUUACUAUAUUCAAAUUUAUCAAGAUUUUAUUUAUAAUGUUAAUACACCUUACUCGAAGGGUGCAAUGUUAGAUUUAUUGAGAAAACGAAGGUCCAUCCUUAGAUUAAGCUUAGGAGAACAACCUGAAGAAAAACAAAGAGAAAGACCUACUGCAUUAUAAAUAACCUUUUUUUGUUACGUAUAAUGCAUUCUGUUGCCAGGUAGCAAUUAAUGCAGAACCAGGCCUAGCCCGUUGGGAGAGAGAGCAACUAUUUCUCUCUAGCCCUAACACUUUUCUUGCGAAAAAAUCAGGGGCAAUUUGAGCUACUGAUUAACGCAAGUUUAAGUUAUGGUGAAGAGAAGGGUAGCUUGAAUCCAUUUCUGGUUGGCUCUUGAAAUCCAAGGCUAAAAAGGUGUGAUCCUGUGAGGAAGACCUUCAGGGAUUAUCACAGCAUGGCCGACAUUGAAUCUUCUUUUUCUUGGAUUAGGGGGGCCGACAUUGAAUCUAGGACGAGCUAUGUAAAUUAGAUAUGAGGAAGGUAAAACAAUACGGUCGAGUUCAAGAGAAGAGGUGAAAGGAAAGGAAGAUAGUUUUCAGGCACACGCUUAGCUGGAAGACUUCAUUAUCCCGGGGAUCGGUUGAAAUGUUAGGUGAUUAGGGGCAAACACAUUGAAGGUUACACUAGGUCUUAAGUCAUCUGGAGAUUUAAGAUGCUCUACUUCUUUUCAAAUUUCACUCUUGAGGAGAAAGCUGAAAAGGUCUCCCCAUACUUUACAGGAGAAAAGCACAUUUCAUUUUCCAUGAGCUAAGUCAUAGCAUAAAUCUUGGUUUCUCUUCUCAAAUAUCCCUUUCCCUCUGAUUCUUCCACCUCUUAUUCUUAGAUCUACCGAAGGUUAGUGGCUUAGACCACAGGGCAAAGUACUUAUUAACCCCCCCACCCCCCAAAAAAAAACAAAAUUUCUUUUUCUCAUUUUUCUUCUUUAUGUAUGAAAAGAGAUUUCCAUAGUUCUCCAACCAACUUUCUACCCAAAUCAACAAAACAAAAAGAGUUGUUUGUAAAAUAUCACUAAGAAAAAGUAAGGAUAGAAUUGCUCCCUGCAGUGACACUGUCUUAAUUUUCAUGAAAAAGAAAGGAAAACAGAACAUGUCUUACCUCUGGAGGAACAAAAACCGGUAGUUCUCCUUUUUUUCUUUGACGAAUUAAUCUUCUGCCAAUAUCUUCAGCACCUCCAGUGUCUUCAACCCACUGCAUAAAAGCAGAAAGCACAAAUAAGUAACUGUAAUUUAAUCAAGCCUUUGAAAGGUAGUGUCAUAUUAGAAACUUGCGCACCAUUGAGGUAAAAAAGAACCAAUCGCAAUAUAUUAGUUGUAAUCACCAAUUAUAAGCAAGAACAGUUGAUGGUGAGAUUGAUGAGGCAUAUGUUCGUCAUGAUAUUGGUUUUAAAGAUUAUAAAAGGUCAUCAUAUAGUCUGGCUGCUGGAAAACCAUCAAAUAUUUACCAAACCAAAAAAUACUAGAACUUUCACUAAAUAUCCUAGAAUAUCAAUUUGGCCCAAAACCGGUGAAUGUCGGACGGAACUCAUCCAAACACAUAUUAUAAUCAUUCUUUCCAUUAAAAAUCCUUUUAAAGUAAAAAAAAAUCUCCCUCGCAUAAAAAGAGCAGAUUAUAACUUAGUUUUUGAUUAUGCACAAUCUUUUAUCAUACUAAAUUGACAUGCAUAAACAUCUUUUUUAUUUAAUGAGUUCUGCAUGCAUGUGUGUGAUUUAGUCAUUAUCGGAUUACAGUGGCAUGCAUAAACAAGUUUUUCAUUUAAUGAUUAAUGCAUAUAUGUGUGUGACUUAGUCAUUAUCUAGGGCUAACUUGUGGCUAAUGGUUGCACUCAAGUUCAUUUUGUGAAUUUAAGCAUUAGGAUUACUACUACAACAACAACAACAAACCCAGAGUAAUCCCAUAGGAAACAUCUAAUGGCUCCAAUGGAGAUGCGGGGUAUCGAUCAAUUUAAGCAUUAGGAUUAAUCCUUUUAUUUACUGAUUUAUGCAUGUAUGUGGGUGAUUUGAUCAUUUCCAAGGGUUAAUCUAGGGCUAAUUAAUCUGCCCUUUCUUUAAGUUAUAGUCUGCUACUUCUAAGUUAGGGAGCAUUUUCUAGUUUAAAAUGAUAUGUUUUAAGGAAAAAUUAUCUUAAAAUGUGCUGGAUGAGUUCUGGCCAACCUUCACCAGGUUUUGGCUAAAUUGAUAUUGUAGGAUAUUUAGUGAAAGCUGAGUGAUUUCUUUGUUAUAAAAUUAGUUUGAUGAUUUUCCUGCAACUAGACUAUACAUAAGUUCAACGACCUUCUAUGUAAUUAACCCACUCUUUUGUGCACCUUCAGGCUGGAAUGACCGACCAGCUUGAAGUUGCAAUACCUUCUGGAUGGUUUUAACAAAUCCGAGAACCAGUCGUCAUAAAGGAAUACUAUAGAUAUUGGAUUAGUAUCUUAUCUUAAGCACUAGAGGCAAUAGACCUCCAUAUGAUUUUGGCAACUCUUGUAUUAUGACUGAUUUUGAGAACAACAAGAAUUGCCCCUAAGGUACUAAAUAGACUAGCAAGUCUCUUACAUAAUACCGAGUUCUCAUCAACUGUUACUAGUCUAUCGCUCUCCACUUUCCUGAAAAAGGAUAACAUUAUUCAACAACAUUGACAAAAACUCUGCCUCAAUCCCAAUAGAUUUCCUAAUAAAAGUACUUUCAGUUCCAAUAUACUACCAUUGAUUAAAGAAUGCAAAAACUUUGUAAAUGGAUAGGAGUUGAAGAGAGAGUAAUUUAUACAUAUGUCUAUCUUCUGAUAAGUUUUCACAAUAUUAAUGAACUUCUCUUAAAGGAUCUUCCAUCAUGUGAAGUUGUGAAUCUAGGGAAAAUCGGAAAAAAUGCAAAAAACAUGAACCUUUUCAGCUAUACCUGAACAUGGUCAUCUACUUUUGUCUCUCAAAAUAGAAAGGAAAAUGUGGAAUGUAGUUUUUCCAACCUUAGAUAGUAGAUACCAUGUAUUUAUGUAUUUAUUCAUUUAUUACUCCUUGCUGACAUAAAAGCAUCUUACAGAGCACUUAGCUUUAGGAAUACAAAUGCAAUGACCAUAAUUCAGCAACUUGACAUCUUUGUCCAUCCUCAGACAUAAUAAGGUCAUUGUUCACCAAAUUACACCUUUUCCCAUCAUCUGGAAACUAAUUUGAAAAUUGAUAAUUAAACAAACAGUUAAAUCAUUUUUUUUUUCAAUUAUCUAAGACUUUGAUAAAGAAUUUUUUUAACGAUGUUUACCUUUUUUUCCGUCUUAGGCGACAAAAAGGAGAGAAGGUUAUGUAACCAACUAUAUGUCACAACAAAAAAUCACAAGAAGAGACCUUUGAAACAUGAUAGAGGAGUAGUUUAUAGGUAAAAGAGGCAAUAAAUAAAGUAAAAUGAUAUUGCUCUAAUCAAAUUACCUUUAGGAUGGACUGGUCGUACGUUCUAGAUCUCAUAGCUCCAUAAAAAUCCAAUGCUGCCAAGAGAUGACCAAGAUAUAUAAGAGAAAAAAGGACCUUUCUCACCUUUGCAUAUUGCGUUAAAUCUACUGUUACAUGACAAUCUAGUAAUAUAAACCGUUUAUGAUCAUGAAGUGUAAUAUUUGAACCAAUUCUCAACCAAUUACGUAGUCCCAUAACAGCAUAUGCAGCAAUGUGAUGGUGCAAGAUCAUAAGUCCUUAUUGUCCAAAGUGUGUUAAACACACCAUACUUGGGCCAUCUAUUAGAUAAAACUGAAACAUGCCCUAGUUUCUGUACCAAAACAGUGAUUGUACCUAUUAAAUAGUGCUGCUUUUAGAGAUAUACAAGGGAAAGAAAGCAUAGUGUGAGCCAACACAAAAAUCAUCGAAACUUUGAAUAUGUGCCAUGAGAGCUGCAAAAAUAAUUCUCAUGGAUGGUUAGACACCUUGAUUCGGGAAAGUAUUAACAAUGGUCGCGACCUCAUCCUUUGUUAUGCCAUCUUUCUCGUACAUUCGGCAAACAAUAUUCUCGAUGUCUUCUUGGGUGGGCUGCCUGUACCAUGAAAGAGCAAAUAGUCACUACUUGCCAUGAAAUGCAUUACAACAGAUUGUUAUCCACGGAGGACAUAUAAAUUAUUUCCAAAGGGUUGUGUGAGAAAGCACGGGAGAAAAUAUUAUUAAUUGAUAUUCUAUGUUACAAUGAGCCCUAUUUAUAUGUAUACAUAACACAUAACCUACUUCUAUUACAUAAGGCACUAGGAUUAAUUACAUAUAUUCACAUAACUAUUCUAACACUCUCCCUCAAGCUGGUGCAUAUAAAUUAUAUGUACCAAGCUUGUUACAUAUGUAGUUAAUACGAGGACCAGUGAGGGACUUGGUGAAAAUAUCUGCAAGCUGAUCAUUCGACUUCACAAACUUUCUAGCAAUAUCUCCCGAGAGUAUUUUUUCUCUAACAAACUGACUGUCAAUCUCAAUGUGUUCAGUUCUCUCAUAGAACAUUGGAUUUGGCGUAAUAUGAAAAGCAACUUGAUUAUCACACACAAAUCUCAUCUGACUAAUCUCACCAAAUUUCAACUCCUUGAGCAACUGUUUGAUCCAACUUAACUGACAUGUCGCCAUAGCCAUUGCUCGAUAUUCUGCUUCUACACUAGACCGAGCAACCACAUUCUGUUUCUUUUCCAAGACAUAAAAUUUUCUCCGACUAAGACACAAUAUCCAGACGUAGAAUGUCUAUCAGCAUCUGAGUAUCCAACGAUCUGCUCAUGGCCUUGAUCUUCAAACAAUAAACCUUUGCCUGGAGCUGAUUUUAUAUAUCGAAAAAUGCGAACAACUGCAUCCCAAUGAUUAUCAUAGGAAGAAUUCAUAAACUGAGUCACAAUACUCACAGGAAAGGAAAUGUCAGGUUUAGUCCCUGUCUUUGCAAAAGUUUAGAAUUCGGAUCCAUCAGAGUGUCAACAGGUCUACAACCUGUCAUUCCUGUCUCCUCAAGAAUAUCUAAGGCGAACUUUCAUUGUACAAUACCUGAGCUAGACUGAGCGACCUCGAUACCCAAAAAAUACUUUAGUUUGCCCAGAUCCUUAGUCUAUAAGAAUAUCUAGGGCAUACUUAUGUUGUGAGAUCAUAAUACCUGAGUUAGACUGAGCGACCUCCAUACCCAAAAAUACUUUAAUCUGCCCAAAUCCUUAGUCUGAAAGUAUUGAAAGAUAUGUUGCUUCAACUUACUAAUAACAUCCUGAUCAUUGCCUGUAAUAACAAUAUCGUCAGCAUAAACGAUCGGAUAAAUACAGAGAUUUGAAGCAGAAUGCCGCUAAAACACAAAGUGAUCAGCUUCACUACAAAUCAUGCCAAACUCUUGAAUAAAUGUGCUGAACAUACCAAACCAGGCUCGAGUAGACUGCCUUAGAUCAUAGAGAGACUGGCGCAACCGACAUAUAAGGCCACUAGACUCCCCCUAGCAAAAACCUCAUCCUCGAGGCUACCACGAAGAAAAGCAUUCUUAAUGUCUAACUGAUAGAGAGGCCAAUGGCGAACAACAACCAUGGAUAGAAAAAGGCGCACUGAUGCUAUUUUAGCCACGUGAGAGAAAGUAUCACUGUAAUCGAGUCCAAAUAUCUGAGUAUACCCUUUGACAACAAGACGAGCCUUAAGUCGAUCAACCUGGUCAUCAGACAACUAAAGUAUCACUGUAAUCGAGUCCAAAUAUCUGAGUAUACCCUUUGGCAACAGGACGGCAUAAGUCGAUCAACCUGGCCAUCUGGAGCAACUUUGACUGCAUACACCCAACGACAACCAACAAUCGAUUUACCCAAAGGAAGAGAAAUAAGCUCCCAAGUACCACUCGUAUAUAAAGAGAUAUCUCAUCAAUCAUAGCAUGUCGCCACUCUGGAUGAGAGUGUGUUUCACCUGUAGAUUUAGGGAUGGAAAUAGAGGACAAAGGUGAUAUAAAUGCACAAUGGGAUGAUGACAGACAAUGGUAACUUAAACCGACAUAAUGGGAUUAGGAUUAAGUGUGGACCGUAUAUCGUUUUGUAGUGCAAUCCGUUGACUUAGAAGACAAAUCUGUAGUAUUCGUUGGGUCAGAUGCAGGAAGUGAAUCAGCUAAGCAUGAUGCUUGGCGCGGACGACGAUGAUAAGUCAGCAGUGGUGGAGCUGUAAAAGGUUGAACUGACUACGUGGUGGCACUGGAGCUAUAAUUGGUGGCACUGGACUAGGUGGCGGCACUAAAGCUAUAUGUGGUGGAGCUGCAACUGGAAUUGUAGGUGGUAAAGCUGCAACUGGAGCUAUGGAGGAAGAUGAAUGGGAAAUAGUGACUGAAUCUCCAAAAGAGAAACUCGUAGCACAUCAAAAAUAGGUGGUGGAGCUGCAACUGAAGUUGUAGGUGGUAAAGCUGCAACUGGAGCUAUGGAGGAAGAUGAAUGGGAGAUAGUGACUGAAUCUCCAAAAGACGGAACUCGUAGCACAUCAAAAAUAUCUAAGUGAUUACCUGGACCUGUGAAAUAUGAUUGUGUUUCAAAGAAGGUAAUAUCAGCAGACAUAAGAUACCGCUGGAGGUCAGGAGAAUAGCAUCGAUAUCCCUUUUGCGUUCUCGAGUAACCCACAAAUACGCACUUAAGAACACGAGGAGCUAACUUAUUUUUUCCUGGAGUAAGGUUAUGAACAAUACACGUACUCUCAAAGACACAGGUUGGAAAAGAGAAUAAAGGUAAGGGGGGAAACAGGACAAAGAAUGAAACUUGAUUGUGGAUAGCUGAAGAUGGUAUACCAUUAAUACGAUAGCAAGAUGUAAGAACUGCAACCCCUGAAAAAUGCAGCGGAACAUGAGAUUGUAUAAGUAGGGUACGAGCAUUUUCAAUAAGAUGUCUAUUCUUUCUUUCAGCUACCCCAUUUUGUCGGGACGUGUACGGACAAGAUGUUUGAUGAAUAAUCCCAUGGAGUUUAUAAACUGCUGAAAUAGGAAAGACAAAUACUCUAGGGCAUUAUCACUACGAAAUGUGCGGAUAGAAACUCCAAAUUAAUUUUGAACUUCAGCAUGAAAGGUCCGAAAAAUAGAAAACAACUCAGAUCGAUUUUUCAUCAAAAAUAUCCAAGUGCACCUGGAAUAAUCAUCAAUGAAACUGACAAAGUAGCGAAAUCCCAAUGUAGAACCGACCCGACUAGAACCCCAAACAUCUGAAUGUACUAAAGUAAAAGGUGACUCUGCUCGAUUAUCAAGACGCCGCGGUAAAUGGAAGUGAGUAUGCUUACCGUUUUCUGAAGUUUUGACAAACUAGGAUGUCCCAACAGUUUAUGUAAUAAAUCUGGUAAAUCAGUAAUGGGACAAAUUGUAAGGAAGACAAGAUGUGAGUCCAUGUGAUUUGCAAGGAUAAGGUAAUAAAGUCCAUCUGUUUCACGUCCAAUACCAAUGAUCCGUCCCGUACAGAACAAGGUAAUCAAGAAAUAAAACAACAGAUUUAGAUGAUUUGCCCAAGCAACUAAUGACUAUGAGAUUAAAAGGACUACCUGGAACAUAAAGAACUAAAUCUAAAAAUAAGGAACGAAGUGGACUUGCUUGACCUAUUGCAAUUGCCAUGGUUUGAGACCCAUUGGCCAUUGUGACUAUUGGAAGACAUUGAGAAUAUGAAAUACUAGUGAAAAGAGAUUUGUCACCAGAAAUAUGAUCAGAUGCACCUAAAUCAAUGACCCAAGACUCAGAGGUUGAAGAUUGGGAGACACAAGUCACGCUACUAUCUGUUUGAACAACGGAGGCUAUCUCUAAAGAUGUCUGUUUACAUGCUUUGUACUGAAGGACUCAAUAUUAUCCCGUAAAAAGACCAUCUGAAUUGGAUUCAAUGCAUUAGAUUCAACGGCUUCUAAUACGAAUGACAUUAUAAUGUUCACGCCCGAAAAAUCAAAAACUCUUAUGGAAAUUACUAUUAAUGUUCACGCCGGAAAAAUCAUUAUUCACACCAGAAGAAUAUAAAAGUGGUCAGAAUUUUGUUUAACUCGGAUGGGUAAACUCGGAAUUGCAAGAAGAUAUCACUGUCCAAAAAAAAAUUCAAAUUCAGGCCGGAACAGCCCGUGUCGGUGCGUAGGACAGACGCGCCACCACCAGCAGAUCUUCGGCAGGGUGCGGGGUGAGUUUUUUCGGGUGAAACUUUCUGGGGUUUGGUCGCCUAUCUCUUGGGAACCUUUUGGUGGUGUUGGAAGUCGCACAACAUUGAUAAUAAGUGACUUUGACACAAAUAGCCACUUAGGUCACCGUAAAAUCGCGCGGUGACUGAGUUCUUUCUUUCCGGAUGUCGCUGUAAUGACGCACAACAAUCUAUUCUCACUGAUGCUUUGAUACCAUAUGAGAAAGCAACAACAACAACAAUAACAUGCCCAGUAUAAUCCCACAAGUGGGGCCUGGGGAGGGUAUGGGGCCU
rnacentral:lncRNA from 1 species